UUCUGACCCGCACACCUCAAGCAGACAACAUCGACGACAUCUUACAAAUUUGAUUUACAAUCAUCUGUUUCUUGAACGUCUUCGCACCUUGUGUUGUUGGAUACUUUCUUCCCGGACCAACCACUUGCGAGCCGCCAACCAUAGGGAAACGCGUAGAUACCUCCCCUAAUCGACCCCGCGGAAACAGGAGAUCGAGUCAGGAAAUCAGACGCUCUCUCCAAAAACGUUUUGCCCACACCAUGGAUGCUCUUCGCCCUCAAAGUGACACCCUGGCUACCAAUUCCACUACGGUUUCUGAAGCUACUUCUUCAGCUACGUCCGCUACUACUACUACAGCCACGUUGGCUCUUUUUGGACAAGAGCCCCCAGUGUCUUCUUCUCUUGCACAAGCCCUGCCCUCAUUGGCUCCUUCUGGACAACCCUACCCCCCACUGUCUUCUUCUCUUGCCCGAGCCCUGCCCCCAUUGUCUCUUUCAAGACAGGCCCAGCUUCCAUUGGCUCCUUCUGGACAGGCUCAGCAACCACUGGCUCCUGGGCAAGCCCUGCUCCCACUGCUUCUGCCCCGAUUACCUCCUCCUGGGCAAGAAGUCCUGCGACACAAGAAAUGAGUCUGCCUGAACACAGUUUAAUGCAGCCACCGUGCCUGAUGGGACAGGUUCCUCUGCUGCCGUGUAUGUCUUCACCGAACCCCCAUCCAUCCAGGGAAUAUUCCCAACCACAGACGUCAGAACCAGAACACGCAGCCUCUGGAGCAGCUCCAGUUCUGACAAGCCCGCUACUGAGGAGGUCAGCGACGACAGAACGGAAUGGCUGCUAGAACACAAGGACAAAAUAGCCUGACGAUUGCUGUAAAUCCAGGUUGCAGGAACGUCACAACGUUCCUUAACUCCUACCGGGUUCUGGGAAGCAAUGUCAUAAGGAAACUGAAAGCAUAGACCUGUUCAGUCUUUCUUGACUUGAUGACAUUCUAGACCUGGCCUUUUAAAAAAGUCUUCCAUGAGUUGACGGCGUUCUAGACCUGGUGUUGUGUAAAUAUGUAAAGUCUUUUCCAGAAUCUGUUAAUCUUUUUAAUCUUUUCAUGACUUGAUCAUAUUUGAGUCUUGGUAUUUGUAUUGGCGUUGUGUGUUAAAUAUUAAAGUUUUGCUUGCAGGGCACAAAAAAAUC